rnacentral:tRNA from 1 species
GGCCAGGUAGCUCAGUUGGUUAGAGCAUUGGCCCGCUAUGCCAAGGUUGCAGGCUCAAUCCCCGGUCA